CAGUGUAUAGUUUAAAUAAAAUAUUAAUUUUGGGGAUUAAAGUUAUGCCUUGCUUUUCACUGA
rnacentral:tRNA from 1 species